GAUGGACGCUAGCGGCAGGCCUAAUACAUGCAAGUCGAACGGGAUCCAGAUCAAAGCUUGCUUUGGUUUGGUGAGAGUGGCGUACGGGUGCGUAACGCGUGAGCAACCUACCCUUGUCAGGGGGAUAGCCCGGCGAAAGUCGGAUUAAUACCGCAUGACAUCAUUGAGAGGCAUCUUUCGAUGAUCAAAGAUUUAUCGGACAAGGAGGGGCUCGCGUGACAUUUGCUAGUUGGUAAGGUAACGGCUUACCAAGGCUACGAUGUCUAGGGGCUCUGAGAGGAGGAUCCCCCACACUGGUACUGAGGCACGGACCAGACUCCUACGGGAGGCAGCAGUAAGGAAUAUUGGUCACUGGACGGUAGUCUGACCCAGCCAUGCCGCGUGCAGGAAGACGGCCCUAUGGGUUGUAAACUGCUUUUAUACGGGAACAAACGUCGGUACGUGUACCGGUCUGAGUGUACCGUAAGAAUAAGGAUCGGCUAACUCCGUG
rnacentral:rRNA from 1 species